rnacentral:rRNA from 1 species
UACGGAGGGUCCAAGCGUUGUUCGGAAUUACUGGGCGUAAAGAGCGCGUAGGCGGCGCAGAAAGUCAGAUGUGAAAGCCCUGGGCUUAACCCAGGAGGUGCAUUUGAUACUGCUGUGCUAGAGUACCGAAGAGGUAAGUGGAAUUCCUAGUGUAGAGGUGAAAUUCGUAGAUAUUAGGAGGAACACCAGUGGCGAAGGCGGCUUACUGGUCGGUAACUGACGCUGAGGCGCGAAAGCGUGGGGAGCAAACAGG